rnacentral:ncRNA from 3 species
UGGUAGAAUGCUCGCCUGCCACGCGGGC